AGUGAACGCUGGCGGUAGACCUAACACAUGCAAGUCGAACGGCAGCACAGUAAGAGCUUGCUCUUACGGGUGGCGAGUGGCGGACGGGUGAGGAAUACAUCGGAAUCUACUUUUUCGUGGGGGAUAACGUAGGGAAACUUACGCUAAUACCGCAUACGACCUAUGGGUGAAAGCAGGGGAUCUUCGGACCUUGCGCGAUUGAAUGAGCCGAUGUCGGAUUAGCUAGUUGGCGGGGUAAAGGCCCACCAAGGCGACGAUCCGUAGCUGGUCGGAGAGGAUGAUCAGCCACACUGGAACUGAGACACGGUCCAGACUCCUACGGGAGGCAGCAGUGGGGAAUAUUGGACAAUGGGCGCAAGCCUGAUCCAGCCAUACCGCGUGGGUGAAGAAGGCCUUCGGGUUGUAAAGCCCUUUUGUUGGGAAAGAAAAGCAGCAGGUUAAUACCCCGCUGUUCUGACGGUACCCAAAGAAUAAGCACCGGCUAACUUCGUG
rnacentral:rRNA from 1 species